rnacentral:misc_RNA from 1 species
CGCGGUUCCGCUGAUUUGCCUUGUUUUUGGGAGACUGGAGGAAUCGCUUUCUUGAGCCUUUUCCAUCUCAAAAUGAAUGCCAAAAAAAGUGCUGCAUGUUAUAGCUAUGAUGAACGAAGAUAAGAGAAGUAGAUCAACCACCGAUGAAGGAGUCUUUUCUUUUGGGACCUUCUUCUCUCGGCGAACAACCAACUUUUCGGAGGCAGCACCGCCAUUCUUCUCCGAGGAAACAAAGAUGUGGUUGAAACACAUCAGAAAAACAAGAAACACAACGCAGGUUAAUGCGGUUAAGGCAGCCAUCCAAAGAGGACUUUCUAGUCCAUGCACCGCAUAAUUGGAAAUUUUUGUGUCGAAGUUAACUGUUUGUAUUACAGAAAAAUCAUUUAGUAAUUCUCCCAAGCUUGCAUUAGACUUCUCUUCUUGGGUCACAAAAACUUUCAGCUUUAGAUUCAAUUGUUUGGAUGAAGACUGGUUUAGAAGUAGAGAAGAUAUUGAGUUCAACAGACAAAUUUCUUGGGACUUUUUCACUACGUAAAUAAGCUGUAUUUGUGUUGGGAAUCUGUAUCUGCUGCUGCUGCUGCUGCUUUUGNNNNNNUUCCUUUAAGAUGCUCAGAAAUGGGGUUAUCCCAAUUCCGCCUGCGAUCAGGACUAGGUUGUCAUAUCUCAGGAAGUCCAGUGAGGCGGGUCCAUAGGGGCCUUCAAUUGCUGCAGG